CAGGACGAACGCUGGCGGUAUGCUUAACACAUGCAAGUCGAACGAGACGAGAUGGAAGGAUCCUUCGGGUGACGGAAAUCUUAGAAAGUGGCGAACGGGUGAGUAACGCGUGGGUAACCUGCCCUAUGGAAAGGAAUAGCCUCGGGAAACUGGGAGUAAUGCCUUAUAAUACAUUGAAGUCGCAUGGCUUUGAUGUUAAACGCUCCGGUGCCAUAGGAUGGACCCGCGUCCCAUUAGCUAGUUGGUGAGAUAACAGCCCACCAAGGCGACGAUGGGUAACCGGUCUGAGAGGGCGAACGGUCACACUGGAACUGAGACACGGUCCAGACUCCUACGGGAGGCAGCAGUGGGGAAUAUUGCGCCAAUGGGGGAAACCCUGACGCAGCAAUACCGCGUGAGUGAAGAAGGUUUUCGGAUCGUAAAGCUCUGUUAUUGGGGAAGAAAAAAGACGGUACCCAAGAAGAAAGUCCCGGCUAACUACGUGCCAGCCGCCGC
rnacentral:rRNA from 1 species